AUGUUGCACAGCAUGGCGGGUAUGAGAAGCCCCGACCGGGGUUCGACUACUGGCGCAGCCAGUUGGACAGACUGUGAGCACAGCGAACAGGCUGCCCGCAGGGCGAGCGAAGCGAGUCAAUCCCCGCCUCACCGCCA
rnacentral:sRNA from 1 species